rnacentral:rRNA from 1 species
UACGUAGGGACCGAGCGUUGUCCGGAAUCAUUGGGCGUAAAGAGCUCGUAGGCGGUUCGGCAAGUCGGGUGUGAAAACUCCAGGCUCAACCUGGAGACGCCACCCGAUACUGCUGUGACUCGAGUCCGGUAGGGGACCACGGAAUUCCUGGUGUAGCGGUGAAAUGCGCAGAUAUCAGGAGGAACACCGGUGGCGAAGGCAGAUCUCUGGGCCGUAACUGACGCUGAGGAGCGAAAGCAUGGGGAGCGAACAGG